UCGAGGGGCAGCAUAAUGGAUAGCAAUAUCUAUGGUGGCGACCGGCGCACGGGUGCGUAACGCGUAUGCAACCUACCUUUAACAGGGGGAUAACACUGAGAAAUUGGUACUAAUACCCCAUAAUAUCAUAGAAGGCAUCUUUUAUGGUUGAAAAUUCCGAUGGUUAGAGAUGGGCAUGCGUUGUAUUAGCUAGUUGGUGGGGUAACGGCUCACCAAGGCGACGAUACAUAGGGGGACUGAGAGGUUAACCCCCCACACUGGUACUGAGACACGGACCAGACUCCUACGGGAGGCAGCAGUGAGGAAUAUUGGUCAAUGGACGCAAGUCUGAACCAGCCAUGCCGCGUGCAGGAUGACGGCUCUAUGAGUUGUAACUGCUUUUGUACGAGGGUAAACGCAGAUACGUGUAUCUGUCUGAGAGUAUCGUACGAAUAAGGAUCGGCUAACUCCGUGCCAGCAGCCGCGGUAAUACGGAGGAUUCAAGCGUUAUCCGGAUUUAUUGGGUUUAAAGGGUGCGUAGGCGGUUUGAUAAGUUAGAGGUGAAAUUUCGGGGCUCAACCCUGAACGUGCCUCUAAUACUGUUGAGCUAGAGAGUAGUUGCGGUAGGCGGAAUGUAUGGUGUAGCGGUGAAAUGCUUAGAGAUCAUACAGAACACCGAUUGCGAAGGUAGCUUACCAAACUAUAUCUGACGUUGAGGCACGAAAGCGUGGGGAG
rnacentral:rRNA from 1 species